rnacentral:rRNA from 1 species
UGGGGAAUUUUGGACAAUGGGGGAAACCCUGAUCCAGCCAUCCCGCGUGUGCGAUGAAGGCCUUCGGGCUGUAAAGCACUUUUGGCAGGAAAGAAACGUCGCGGGUUAAUACCCCGCGAAACUGACGGUACCUGCAGAAUAAGCACCGGCUAACUACGUGCCAGCAGCCGCGGUAAUACGUAGGGUGCAAGCGUUAAUCGGAAUUACUGGGCGUAAAGCGUGCGCAGGCGGUUCGGAAAGAAAGAUGUGAAAUCCCAGAGCUUAACUUUGGAACUGCAUUUUUAACUACCGGGCUAGGGUGUGUCAGAGGGAGGUGGAAUUCCGCGUGUAGCAGUGAAAUGCGUAGAUAUGCGGAGGAACACCGAUGGCGAAGGCAGCCUCCUGGGAUAACACUGACGCUCAUGCACGAAAGCGUGGGGAGCAAACAGGAUUAGAUACCCUGGUAGUCCACGCCCUAAACGAUGUCAACUAGCUGUUGGGGCCUUCGGGCCUUGGUAGCGCAGCUAACGCGUGAAGUUGACCGCCUGGGGAGUACGGUCGCAAGAUUAAAACUCAAAGGAAUUGACGGGGUCAUAGCUG